rnacentral:rRNA from 1 species
GACGAACGCUGGCGGCGUGCUUAACACAUGCAAGUCGAACGGAAAGGCCCUGCUUUUGUGGGGUGCUCGAGUGGCGAACGGGUGAGUAACACGUGAGUAACCUACCCUUGACUUUGGGAUAACUUCAGGAAACUGGGGCUAAUACCGGAUAGGAGCUCCUGCUGCAUGGUGGGGGUUGGAAAGUUUCGGCGGUUGGGGAUGGACUCGCGGCUUAUCAGCUUGUUGGUGGGGUAGUGGCUUACCAAGGCUUUGAAGGGUAGCCGGCCUGAGAGGGUGACCGGCCACAUUGGGACUGAGAUACGGCCCAGACUCCUACGGGAGGCAGCAGUGGGGAAUAUUGCACAAUGGGCGGAAGCCUGAUGCAGCAACGCCGCGUGCGGGAUGACGGCCUUCGGGUUGUAAACCGCUUUCGCCUGUGACGAAGCGUGAGUGACGGUAAUGGGUAAAGAAGCACCGGCUAACUACGUG